CCCUUAGAUGUUCUGGGCCGCACGCGCGCUACACUGAUGCAUUCAACGAGCCUAUCCUUGACCGACAGGUCCGGGUAAUCUUUGAAUCUGCAUCGUGACGGGGAUAGAUUAUUGCAAUUAUUAAUCUUCAACGAGGAAUGCCUAGUAGGCGCAAGUCAUCAGCUUGCGUCGAUUACGUCCCUGCCCUUUGUACACACCGCCCGUCGCUACUACCGAUUGAACGUUUUAGUGAGGCAUUUGGACCGACGCAUCUCAGUUUAACCGCUGGUUUGUGUUGGAAAGACUUCCAAACUUGAGCGUUUAGAGGAAGUAAAAGUCGUAACA
rnacentral:rRNA from 1 species